rnacentral:rRNA from 1 species
AACGAACGCUGGCGGCAUGCCUAACACAUGCAAGUCGAACGAGACCUUCGGGUCUAGUGGCGCACGUGUGCGUAACGCGUGGUAACCUGCCCUUAGGUUCGGAAUAACUCCCCGAAAGGGGUGCUAAUACCGGAUAAUGUCUUCGGACCAAAGAUUUAUCGCCUUUGGAUGGGCCCGCGUUGGAUUAGCUAGUUGGUAGGGUAAAAGCCUACCAAGGCGACGAUCCAUAGCUGGUCUGAGAGGAUGAUCAGCCACACUGGGACUGAGACACGGCCCAGACUCCUACGGGAGGCAGCAGUGGGGAAUAUUGGACAAUGGGCGAAAGCCUGAUCCAGCAAUGCCGCGUGAGUGAUGAAGGCCUUAGGGUUGUAAAGCUCUUUUACCCGGGAUGAUAAUGACAGUACCGGGAGAAUAAGCUCCGGCUAACUACGUG